rnacentral:lncRNA from 1 species
GGGGUGAAGGUUGCUUGAGACCUUGGGCUCCAUAAUUGGGUGUUAUCCAAUAAAUGUGAAAUAAAAGUUGGAAGGCUGGGAUCUUAAUAACUUGUCAGAAGAUCCCAUUAAAUGCAAACUGGAUAGAUGUGUUAUCUUCCUGUCACAGUACGUCAAAGAAAUAAUAGUAAGAGAUUGAAUGGUUAUAACGAUGCAUCAAUGAAUAGUAGCCGUUGUAUGAAUUGCUUAAUAUGCUACUCUUUACUUCGGACAACGAGAAGUGAUUAACCAGAAUAAAUGGCGCUUCAAGUUCAGGUGCAAAGAUCUAUAGACCAUUACAAACUUUCUCCGUCUGACUACCAACUACCGUAACAAUGGGACAAUUUCGAAGUGUUC